GCGCCAUGUCUUGUUCUUGAUCAACUAUAGUUCUGGAGUUUUUGCAAAUUUUCAAAUAAAACUCAGAGAUUCCUUGUAUGACUCUCUCUAGUCUCUCUUCUGUGGUAUUUCUGGAUCCUUACCAAGGAAGUGAUGAUAUAUGCCUUCUCUCUCACCCUAGUCUAACAAGGUUUUGAUAUCUGGAGCUCAUAGGUGGGAGACAGCUAAUACAUACUUACAAGACAUUUAUUGCAUAGUCAAACCAUGGAUCCAGAGAAACAAGUCAAUAAGUCAAAUCAAGAUGUGCAUGUGUGGCGGAUGAAUGGUGUAUGGUGAUGAUGGUGAUAAUGGUGAAAAUAAUGGUGAAAGUCUAAUUCUACUUUUGCUCUUUUGAGGGGAUACAUACCUUUCUUGCACUUUGAAGGUCUUUGAGAGGAAUGAGAUGCUCUAUAUUUUCUUUUUCUUUUCUCUCAGGUGGGUAUCUUGUACCCCUAAUUCUACUAUUGGACACUUGUCCAUUUUUACCACUCAUCUCACUUUUUCUUUUCUUUCGAGGUUCCGGGCACUUGCCCCUUUUUAUUUCCUCGUAUUCACUUUUUUUUCAGAGCACUCACCCUCCUGGAAUAAUGUAGCAAGUGGUAGUAACCAAAAUAUCUCGAGCAUUUAUUUCACGGGGAAUAACAGGCAUAGGAUAAUGUUUUUGGCUAUUCUCUCCUGGAUAGGAGUAGAAUAAUUUUGGGUAAAUCUAGAGAUGGAAAUGAAUGGAUGUAUGUAGAUGCGUACUUCCGGAGUAGAAGCAGCAUGUAUGAGUGAACGUGCAAGUGAAUCUUGAUUUUAACCGCAUGACAAGCUCCUAAGGGUCUACACAGCUUGACCACACUCAAUGCUCAUAAGCAGUAAAAAGUAAAUGUAUGGUUCAUAGUCUAACAAGCAUGUAUAUAUGGUUGUGGUAGGAUUUUAAACUCUCAUCAUAUAGGAACUCAUAAUGCAACAUUUUAAAUAUUUUUCAAAGAUAAAAUUCUCCAGAAUUCUAGCAUCUCUAGGAACAGAUAAACAGCAGCUCAACCUUCCCAUAUCAUAUCCGUUAACAACUUAGACUUUAGAUCAAGUACUCUUCCCACA
rnacentral:lncRNA from 1 species